ensembl:rRNA 5S_rRNA 5S ribosomal RNA
GUUUAUGGCCAUAUCGGGCACCCUGAACAUGCCUGAUUCAUCUGAUCUCAGAAGCUAAGCAGGGUCGGCCCUGAUUAGUACUUGGAUGGGAGACCACUUAGGAAUACCAGGUGCUGUAGGCA